AUGUUUAAGAUAGAUCUUGCAAAGGCCUUUGACAUAAUUGAGUGGCAGUUUAUAGAGCUAGCUCUUGCUCGUAAAGGGUUGAAUGGUCAUUUCAUUAAUCUUAUACAUGCUUGCAUCUCUUCACCAUUCUCUGUUAUUAUUAAUGUUCAGUCUUACGGGAGAUUCAAAAGCUCUAGAGGUAUUAGGCAAGGAUGCCCUCUAUCACCUUCACUUUUUGUCCUUGCAGUGAAUGAACUCUCUCUCUCUCUCUCUCAAGCAUUACAAAAUAACCAAGUGUCAGGUAUAGCUCUUGGACCAUAAUGUCCGCCAAUUCAUUCCCUCAUGUUUGCUGACGACCUUUUGGUAUGUGGUAAGGCUAAUAUGUAGUAAGCUUCAGUUAUAGCGCAGGUUCUACAUCAUUUCUGUAAUCUCUCGGGUCAGAUCCCAAACUAG
rnacentral:rRNA from 1 species